rnacentral:rRNA from 1 species
AUGGAUUUGCUGGAGGUGUUUCUUAGUCGACGCAUCCAGCCACUCCAGGCUCGCGAUCAUCCUAUGUGGAUGUACUUGGGUAUUGAUGACACCACUCGGAUUCAUCUGGAGGAAAUCACCAAGGAGACGGUAGAGCAGUGGUUGCAAGGCAUCAUAGGUAAUAAAGACAACCCCAGGGGGUCCAGGAGAAUUCAACCACUCCACUCCUCCAAUGAACCAGACAAGAUUUAUACUGAGAUGUACUCGAUGCCCAAUGGAGAGCAGGACCAGGAAGGAGAGGCGAGCGGAGGUGAAAGAGGUGACUGGAAAUCCAAUGAAGAAGACGAGGAGGAGAGUGAGGACUCAAGCAAUGGUGAAGAAGUCGACUCCCCACCUCGCUCUGAAAGACGCUCCAAGCAAACCCAUGAUCCAGCGAGUGUCCGUGGCAAAGCGGUUGUGCAGACCUCGAAGCGCACUCGUACAUCCUCCCCCAUUCCGACUGAAAAGGCCACGAAGCAGCUCAAGGUUGCGCCUUCAAAGCCUCGGAAGUCGCUGCCUAAGAUAAAGGUUAACGUUCCCGUUGCCUCUGCGUAA